GGUUAAGUGAAUAAGGGCGCACGGUGGAUGCCUUGGCACUAGGAGCCGAUGAAGGACGGGACUAACACCGAUAUGCUUUGGGGAGCUGUACGUAAGCUAUGAUCCAGAGAUUUCCGAAUGGGGGAACCCAACAUCUUUAAUAGGAUGUUACGAUUGUGUGAAUACAUAGCACAUUCGAGGUAGACGCAGAGAACUGAAACAUCUAAGUACCUGCAGGAAGAGAAAGAAAAUUCGAUUCCCUGAGUAGCGGCGAGCGAAACGGGAAAAGCCCAAACCAGCAAGCUUGCUUGUUGGGGUUGUAGGACUCC
rnacentral:rRNA from 1 species